AUUGAACGCUGGCGGCAGGCCUAACACAUGCAAGUCGAGCGGAUGAAGGGAGCUUGCUCCUGGAUUCAGCGGCGGACGGGUGAGUAAUGCCUAGGAAUCUGCCUGGUAGUGGGGGAUAACGUCCGGAAACGGGCGCUAAUACCGCAUACGUCCUGAGGGGGAAAGAGGGGGAUCUUCGGACCUCACGCUAUCAGAUGAGCCUAGGUCGGAUUAGCUAGUUGGUGGGGUAAAGGCCUACCAAGGCGACGAUCCGUAACUGGUCUGAGAGGAUGAUCAGUCACACUGGAACUGAGACACGGCCCAGACUCCUACGGGAGGCAGCAGUGGGGAAUAUUGGACAAUGGGGGAAAGCCUGAUCCAGCCAUGCCGCGUGUGUGAAGAAGGUCUUCGGAUUGUAAAGCACGUUAAGUUGGGAGGAAGGGCAGUAAGUUAAUACCUUGCUGUUUUGACGUUACCAAAAGAAUAAGCACCGGCUAACUUCGUG
rnacentral:rRNA from 1 species